GGUCAUGAGUGCCAGCAUCAAGCCCCGGCUUGCUGGCCGGCAACCCUCCAGCUCGCGGUGGGGUGCCCCGGGUGAGGACCAGGCAGGUGCCAACCGGCACCGGCAAGCGCGGGCC
rnacentral:ncRNA from 1 species